CACGUAGGGUGCGAGCGUUGUCCGGAAUUAUUGGGCGUAAAGAGCUCGUAGGCGGCUUGUCGCGUCGUCCGUGAAAACUUGGGGCUCAACCCCAAGCUUGCGGUCGAUACGGGCAGGCUAGAGUUCGGUAGGGGAGACUGGAAUUCCUGGUGUAGCGGUGAAAUGCGCAGAUAUCAGGAGGAACACCGGUGGCGAAGGCGGGUCUCUGGGCCGAUACUGACGCUGAGGAGCGAAAGCCAGGGAGCAAACGGG
rnacentral:rRNA from 1 species